AGGACGAACGCUGGCGGCGUGCUUAACACAUGCAAGUCGAGCGAGGCCCUUCCUUCGGGAAGGUGCCCUAGCGGCGAACGGGUGAGUAACACGUGGGCAACCUGCCCCUAGCACUGGGAUAAGCCCGGGAAACCGGGUCUAAUACCGGAUAUGACCUUCGAGGGCAUCCUUGAAGGCGUAAAGGAUUCUGGCUAGGGAUGGGCCCGCGGCCUAUCAGCUUGUUGGUGGGGUAAUGGCCUACCAAGGCGACGACGGGUAGCCGGCCUGAGAGGGCGACCGGCCACACUGGGACUGAGACACGGCCCAGACUCCUACGGGAGGCAGCAGUGGGGAAUCUUGCACAAUGGGCGAAAGCCUGAUGCAGCGACGCCGCGUGAGGGAUGACUGCCUUCGGGUUGUAAACCUCUUUCAGCAGGGACGAAGCGAAAGUGACGGUACCUGCAGAAGAGCACCGGCAACUACGUGCCAGCAGCCGC
rnacentral:rRNA from 1 species